rnacentral:rRNA from 1 species
CCUACGGGAGGCAGCAGUAAGGAAUAUUGGUCAAUGGGCGGAAGCCUGAACCAGCCAUGCCGCGUGCAGGAAGACGGCCUACGGGUUGUAAACUGCUUUUGUACGGGAAUAUGUACUGUAAGAAUAAGGAUCGGCUAACUCCGUGCCAGCAGCCGCGGUAAUACGGAGGAUCCAAGCGUUAUCCGGAUUUAUUGGGUUUAAAGGGUGCGUAGGCGGCCUAUUAAGUCAGGGGUGAAAGACGGUAGCUCAACUAUCGCAGUGCCUUUGAUACUGAUGGGCUUGAAUGCAGCUGAGGUAGGCGGAAUGUGACAAGUAGCGGUGAAAUGCAUAGAUAUUUCACAGAACACCGAUUGCGAAGGCAGCUUACUAAUGUGAUUGACGCUGAGGCACGAAAGCGUGGGGAUCAAACAGGAUUAGAUACCCGAGUAGUC